CAUAUUAUCCUUAAGGAAAAUAAAGUACUUUUGCAACACACACACACACACACACACACACACACACACAAAAUCGAAAGUCACGCAUGUCGAGGCUUCUUUGUUAUUUCAGAAUCACAAAGUUAAAUUCCCCUUCACUCAUUUAGCAAUACAGAAAUAUCCAUAAGAAAAUCUUACUGUAAAAUCUACACUGUACAGUUUUACUUGGAAGAAAUACUAAGUAAGAAACACUAGGCAAGACCGAGGCCGUUCGUCAGGGCAUUCGAACACAGUGUUGAAUUUGACGUCAGUGCGCGUGCGUGUGUCGGCGGCGGGGCUGUCUGUGUGGCGACCUUUUAAGCCCUUCGUGUAAUUUACCUUAAUUCACCUUCGUGGCGGUGUUAUUACGAGACUGAGAGUUUUGGGAAGACCUUGGGGACAUGUCUGGGUACAAAGGUAAGCCCGUAGAGGUGACAAGGGCAAGUAAGGACCGGUGAAAGAAGCGGAAGCCCUGGUGGCCCUGCUGGUGGUGGCGGCAGCAGGGAACCCUCUACUACCUCUUCGCAGCCUUCCAGUGGCCCCAGCGUCUCAGGCCUCGGCGACGCGCGGAGGUGGCAACAGUGACGUGCAGGCUGAUCUCUACCCUUGAGGCGCGGCUGUUAGUGUUUGUUUCCUGCCUCGUCCUUCACGCGAGUAGUCUGAUACGGGUGGUCGGCGGAGGGCGAGGCCAUGUAUGAGCUGUUCCUUCAGGUCCAUCGGCGGCUGCAGCGUCGUAGGUAACUAUUGUACUGCUUCCUCGGGCUCUUUUUUUGUGUGUAUGUGAGCGAGCGAGUGAGAGAGCACGCACGCACGCAAGUUAUCGAGUGUGUGUGUGUGUGUGUGUGUCAGCGGAAAAAUCCCGGUCUGAGCGGGGAUCGAACCUCUGCCUGCCAGGCCGUGAAACCUGAGAGCGCAGAGCUUUAACCAUUGAGCUACUGAAGCGGUGUAUUAAUAUUUACCUAUUUGUAACAUACAGGGCUUGGCUCAGAUAGUCCUGUCUCUUUGUCUACUUUUAUCCAAUCUUUCCUUCAUUUGGUGGACACUCUUCGCCUCCAUCACUUCUUCCUCCAGACUGUUCCACAAAUCCACACUUCUAUGAGGCAAGCUGUACUUCUUUUUGUCUCUCAAGCAUGUUCCCUUUCUCAGUUUCUUGUUGUGUCCUCUCAAUCCUCUCCUUUGCUCUCUCUCCAUCAAGUCCUCUCUGUCUACCUUAUCCAUACCUCUCAUCAACUUAAACAUUAUCAAGUCUCCCUUUUCUCUCCUUUGUUCAAAAGUUGGCAGGUUUUUGCGUUCCAAUCUUUCUUCAUAUGGCAGAUUUGAGAGUUCAGGUAUAGGUGUGUGUGUGUGUCUGUGUGUUUGUUUACAUGCGUGAUUGCGUAAAUACGUGCGGGCGUGUCUAUACUUUUUUUCUAUUUUCAAGAAAAUUUAAUGUCGGGCAGAAAAUACAUAUAAUGACAAAAUAGUAGUUUUUGAAGGUAGGGAGCAAGAUCUGGGCACGCUAAUAAAAUCAAUAUUUGCCGCUGGGAGGUAACCAGUGCUAUAAAUCUCCUUCUUUUAUAAUGAUUAAACAUUUGGCUUCCCCAGAGGCCAGUUUUGUUGUCUUGUUCUCCCAAUUAGUUAAUUCAUGAUGGUCCCAACUUUAUUCCUUUUCUAAUAAUUCGGUUUAUUUUCUGAAUUAUGAUUUUAUAUUGGUCUCCUUAUACUAUCAAAAUAUUACAUACAAGCAUUUACAAAUUGUACAAAUAAAUUAGAGCAUUAAUUAUAUUUGGAGAAAGAGAGUUUUCAUAUUGAAUACAGUCUUUAUUCAACUUAUUGUGUUAAGAAUCUACAUAAAGCUAUUUCUUACAUCACAGUGAUGUGAUUGGUCACAUAUCCUUUUCACUGCCACUAACGCAAGUUCCACUUUGUUCAAAAACUAAAGUGGUGCUAUCUUCUCAGAUGACUACUGUGGUCCAUUCACAUCAGCUGGAUUCCCCCAGCCGUGACUUGAUCCCUAGGCAAGUAGGUAAAGACGUUGGUGAUUGGCUGUUGGCAGGCUGCAUGUCUGACAUGUCCAACACAACCGCACAUGUUCAGAAAGAAUUCCUAUAUCUGUAUGUAGCUCAGCUGUUAUACGAGACGGAAAUAUUGUUUACCACAUUGGAUUAAGCAGUGCUAGUGCAACUAAUAACACUAUUUUCAAAACUAAAGGAAUUAUGGUGUGUGUCAGAAAAUAACAUUAAAUGUUUACUUUUCACAAUUCCUUUCUUACUGGCAUCUAUAUACCACUCCAACUAAAACAUGAUCUUAUUCUUAUGUAUGAAAACAAAUUUAUUUUUCUAAAUAGAUUCCAGAACUGCUGCAAAUAUCAGUAAGUAAAAAUAUGGUACACACAUUUAAUGUUAGUCACUGACUUGUACUCCCUGUUACUAUUUCUUACCUAGUUUUGAAAAUUAAGUUGUAGUUCUACAACCACUGCUCAAUCCUAGGAUGCAAAUAAAAUUUGUCUUGUGUUACAGGCAAGCUAGGUGAAGAAAUAUGAUUAUUUUCUAAAAUAGAGUUUACCCAUGGUGGGAGUCCAAAUGACAAAACAAGUACUCCAGGAUAUCUGCAUCACCAACAAUACUCUUAUUUAAAAAUUAUGCAUAAUUUACAGUCAUCUUAGAUAAGAUAGGUUGCAAAUGUAGAAAUUAUGAUUAUUUUCAGAAACACUUGGGCUAUCAAUGUCACAUGUUCCAAGUUUGCACUAACAGCUGAGUGAGGCUCCAGCCUCAGUUUGGGGAAAGGGUCUGCACAUAGAAAAAGAAAAAAAAAAGGCACUUUGAAAACUGCUUCACUGGGUCUGUAAUUCCAAGAUUUGUAUAAGAACACUUUGUAGAAUUUUUUUCCUGGGAAAAGUUUGUCCUUGCAAUUCACAGGUAGAUUUGUGCAGAGCAAGGCAUCACAACACUACCAGUUUAAAUCUAGAGUUUUUUCACA